AGUGAACGCUGGCGGUAGGCCUAACACAUGCAAGUCGAACGGCAGCACAGUAAGAGCUUGCUCUUACGGGUGGCGAGUGGCGGACGGGUGAGGAAUACAUCGGAAUCUACUUUUUCGUGGGGGAUAACGUAGGGAAACUUACGCUAAUACCGCAUACGACCUACGGGUGAAAGCAGGGGAUCUUCGGACCUUGCGCGAUUGAAUGAGCCGAUGUCGGAUUAGCUAGUUGGCGGGGUAAAGGCCCACCAAGUCGACGAUCCGUAGCUGGUCUGAGAGGAUGAUAGGCCACACUGGAGCUGAGACACGGUCCAGACUACUACGGGAGGCAGCAGUGGGGAAUAUUGGACAAUGGGCGCGAGCCUGAUCCAGCCAUACCGCGUGGGUGAAGAAGGCCUUCGGGUUGUAAAGACCUUUUGUUGGGAAAGAAAAGCAGCAGGUUAAUACCCCGCUGUUCUGACGGUACCCAAAGAAUAAGCACCGGCUAACUUCGUG
rnacentral:rRNA from 1 species